GAUGAACGCUGGCGGUAUGCUUAACACAUGCAAGUCGAACGGUCACUUCGGUGAUAGUGGCGGACGGGUGAGUAACGCGUGAGAAUCUGUCUUCAGGUCGGGGACAACAGUUAGAAAUGACUGCUAAUACCGGAUGUGCCUUUGGGUGAAAGAUUUAUUGUCUGAAAAAGAGCUCGCGUCAGAUUAGCUAGUAGGUGGUGUAAGAGACUACCUAGGCUCCGAUCUGUAGCUGGUCUGAGAGGACGAUCAGCCACACUGGAACUGAGACACGGUCCAGACUCCUACGGGAGGCAGCAGUGGGGAAUUUUCCGCAAUGGGCGAAAGCCUGACGGAGCAAUACCGCGUGAGGGACGAAGGCUUUUGGGUCGUAAACCUCUUUUCUCAAGGAAGAUGAUGACGGUACUUGAGGAAUAAGCAUCGGCUAACUCUGUG
rnacentral:rRNA from 1 species